rnacentral:rRNA from 1 species
GAUGAACGCUGGCGGCGUGCCUAAUACAUGCAAGUCGAGCGAACGGACGAGAAGCUUGCUUCUCUGAUGUUAGCGGCGGACGGGUGAGUAGCACGUGGAUAACCUACCUAUAAGACUGGGAUAACUUCGGGAAACCGGAGCUAAUACCGGAUAAUAUUUUGAACCGCAUGGUUCAAAAGUGAAAGACGGUCUUGCUGUCACUUAUAGAUGGAUCCGCGCUGCAUUAGCUAGUUGGUAAGGUAACGGCUUACCAAGGCAACGAUGCAUAGCCGACCUGAGAGGGUGAUCGGCCACACUGGAACUGAGACACGGUCCAGACUCCUACGGGAGGCAGCAGUAGGGAAUCUUCCGCAAUGGGCGAAAGCCUGACGGAGCAACGCCGCGUGAGUGAUAAAGGUCUUCGGAUCGUAAAACUCUGUUAUUAGGGAAGAACAUAUGUGUAAGUAACUGUGCACAUCUUGACGGUACCUAAUCAGAAAGCCACGGCUAACUACGUG